rnacentral:lncRNA from 1 species
AGAACUGCAGAUAGUACAGCUUCCACAGGAGCAAGGGAUGUCUGAGCACAAGUGGCUGAGUUCCGAGUGACUUUAUGAAGCACUUUCUACCUUCCUCUCCGGCAUGAAAACAGGGAUUCUGCACCUGCAUCAUGGACAGUCUGGCAAAAGCCUCUGCUCUGCCUCCGGGGACAAGAAACUAGAGCAAAUAACCGUUUUGAAAUUAGAUCCUGGCAAAAUUACCAACAAUCAAUGAUGGAAACUGAAGGGAGAUUGAUUUAAAUCUUCAAUGACAGUUGUACAGAAGUUGAAGAAACACGUCAUCUUUCCAAAGAAGAGUGAGUAGCUUGGUUGGUGGUACCCUAAAAUUAGGGCAUGAUUAAGGUACGUCAUUUCUUUUAGUUCAAUCAAAGUGCUUUGCUGUUUCCAUUUCAGAGAAUUUCUUAUUCGUUUUUUCAAUGUCUCUCUCUUCCUCUUCUUCCUCUCAUUAGUAGAUGUCUUUUAUAAUUGAUGUCAUUUACUGUCCUUUAAUCAAAUGUAUGCCACAUCACUUACGCGAACCAGCAGACCGGGCACCAAAAUACACAUUAGAGGAGACUGGCUUCCAUGAGACGCUUCGACUGUCUCAUCGGGGCACUUGUAAUAAGCAUCUUGGUGCCACUGAAUGCAAUGCUGUAUUCAAAUAAUAGCUUUCAUCUUCACUCUUUUUAAAUAUAAAAGUAAACCUUGAAGCCCUUUGAAGGACCUAACCAAACAACAUACCUAUGAAAAUAGAUCAGUAAGGCUUUGAGAAACAUUCUUAAGUAAAAUCUGUAAAGCAUCUUUGCAUUUUUUUUUCAAGAAAGACCUCCAGGUAAAUGAUGGCUUUUAAUAAGACACAUGACAAUCUCAAUUACAAGAAUCAUUAGUGUGUGUCCUGUGCGCCAUUUUAUGUUCCCAGCAGGAUAUAUCUUUUCUCGUCUAGGGUUUCCAGGGCUGUCUACUGUUCUCUAUGUGUAAAACGUAUUUAAGUGUUCCCCCAAUGCUGCACUAAUGUUGAAACAAAACAGAACAAAAACGAAGAAACCUUUGUCAAGUGGUCAGACAGACUGGAACUAGAGGAUUAUAGGUAAGAGAGAUAAAAUGAAGGGUUGAAAGCUAUAAUUUCUAUUUAUGUGGUGGCAACCAAAUCAGCUGUUGGAGUCAGGCAAUUUAAAGAUGUGGCUACUGGAGCUCAGAGUCUGGGAAGAAGACACUUCUGCGUCUGACAGUGAAUCAGGCUCCCAGUUUUGAAGAUGUGCUGUAGGUAGUUCUCGCUGAAUCCAUUUCCCAGUUGGUUUCUAUUCCCUGCCCCAUUCCUGUGUCCCCACACUUUCCACUUGAUUUUACCUCUUUGACAAUUCUAUAUUUUACUUUCCUUCCUCUCAUUCCUCUUUUCCCACCCCCUUUUUUUACUGUAGUUCUUGGCCUCUGACUACUGUUCCAUGCUGGAUGUCCCCAGAAAAUAGAGUAUGUUUAGAAAGGAGACAGUGCAUCUCAGAAGGGCCUCCCCAGUCCACUAGUCCAUUUUUUAAUGUGUUGUGCUGUAUGGGUGUCAGGAAUAUUUGUAGAUGAAGUAAUUUGAGGCAUGAAUUUUGAUAGAAGCAGGAUCACCAACAAAAUGAUAAAUGUAGGUACCUGUCUACCUUGCAUAAUAUUCACUAUGAUCUUGAGAAUUUCAAUGUAUAAUUUGUCUUUAUUCUUAUUUUUCAUUAGAAUUAACAGAAUCUCAGAGCUGGUAGAAAGUAUAGAAACUGUAUAUACAACUCUCAUAUUCAGAUGAAGAAAAUGAUGCACAAAAAAUCAACUGUCCUAAGCCAUUCAGCUUGUCUAUAAGUGCUGUUGGCUUAAUUAUAGUUUUGCAUAUAUUUAGGCAAAGAAAACACUUUCUCAGAAACUGGUUAGGACUGUUUGAGAAGAAAUAUAAUCAUCAAAAUAUAUACACAGUAAAAUGUAACCGUCCAUCAUUCAACAUAGGCAAGAAUAUAUAUUGAAUUGCCUGAGUGUAUUAUUCGUAUAGCAAAACUUACUUGAAUUUCUAAUAAAUCUUCUGACCUCUGUAUAUGUAUAAAAUAUAUAAACCAACCAAAUUCUGUACAUAAAUAUAUUUUUGGAUACCAGUACAAUCCCUAUUUCACUUUUGUGUAUUCCAGUUAUUUAUUACUCACAGUUCUGUAGUUUUAACCAGAACAAAGGGAUUACCCAGAAGAAAAGAAGGUAAGCUAUUUCAUCAGUUUUGGUGGAAAUCAGAAGUUUUUUUUUCUAUUAUUAGCUUUGUAUUCUUAAAAAAGAAAAAAGAAGGAGAAAAAAAAA